ACAUUUUCUGAUGAGAAAAAAUAAUGAUGCUAACUUCUGUGUUUAACAUUUCCCCAUCUUUCAGAAAAUUACAUGCAUAUUUGCCUCCAAAUUUGGUGUUGGGUAUGAGUACAUGAACUGAUGCCAUUAUGUUCAUGUUCACUUAAACUUCAUAACAGGUUAGCAUAUCGUAAAUUAUUUCAAAAGAAGGGUGCCGUGCUCAGUGGAUACCAUGCACAGGGGCUGUGCUUAAUGUUAAUAGUGUAAGUCAGGAACCUGAGUUGUACCUCUCCAGUACUGAAGUAGUGGAUGAUCUUUGACAAAUCACUUAAUCUCUCAUCAUUCUUAACUAUAAUGACAGUUGAUCUAAACUCUCAUAGCUGAUAGUAAUACCUUGCUUGGAGUAGUAGUGAGACUUGAUUAAUUGUAAUGUGUGAAGCACUUUAAGAUCUUUGGAUAAAAUGUAUUACCAAAAAACACACUAUUUGUUUUUCUUUUUCUCACAGUUAUUCCCAAGAGGACAUAUAUGUCGGAUAAGCCAAGAUCCAUGUGAUUUUACAGAAUAUUGCACUGGAACAUCUGAGUUUUGUGUAGAUGAUAUGAAAUCUCUUGAUUAUGAACUAUGUAGUAAUAAAACCGCCUUUUGCUAUAAGGGAAUAUGCCGAGAUCCGAGUAGACAGUGUAUGGAGUUAUUUGGAAAAUUUUCUAAAGGUUCUAGUUAUUUAUGUGCAGAAGAAAUCAAUUAUCUAGGAGAUGACUUUGGAAAGUGUCAUAACGGCCCAUGUGUUAUAACGUGUGUAUUUUAAAAACUAUUCAUUUCCAAAUGCAUGUGUUUUUGUGUGUGUGUGUUUUCGUGUAUGUGUUUUCUACAAUGAUUCACUUAAUUCAAAUGAGAGAUGAAUAUAGUACAUACAGAUGAGUUUAUAUGUUGUACUUCAUAAGAUGGUGUCUGCUCUGAAUAGCUUUGUUGUUAUGAUCUGAGUAACAUUUUGAAUUAUCUUCAUAUUUUGAAUUGUUAUUUACCUAAUACAUUGUGCCCCAGAGUGACAUAUGGGAAAUUUUCUCUGCUUUAUAUUUCCAGAGAUACCCUUUGUGCAAAGAUAGUUUGUCACUGGACACAUACAGAGAUAGCAUCAUUAACAAAUUAUGAUAUUCAGUACACUUUCCUUGGCGGCCAAAUAUGUAUGUCAGCACAUAAAAGAAAUAAUACUCCAGGUGUGGAUCUAAGCUAUAUAGUGGAUGGUACUAUAUGUGAUAAAAAUAUGGUAAAUAUAAAUUUUACUUAAUUCUAAA